GCUGCACGGGAAAAGAGCUGGCUCUCAAGCAGUGUAUUUUCUUUACUCCUCCUUCUAUUUCACAGCCCCCGUUAUUCAUUUUUCAGUUUUACUGGUAGUUUAUAAGUUAGCCAGCUGUUCUUUAACACUGUUCUCUUAUUUCAGGUUUUCUUGAUUGGCUUGGAAAGAAUGCAGACCCAGCCUGGGGCAGAGGGAGCGGGGUGGCCAGAGCCAAUGACACAGCCUGCACACAGUAGGGUUAGCAGGCGCCUGUUUUGGGGAAACCCAGCUUAUAAUUUAGAACAAGCCUCUAAUUCUGAUUCUGCAUUUAUAUUUGUGGGAAAUGCUCCCCAGGAGAGCAUCCAGUGCAGCACAGCCACUGGCAGCCCAGCAGCCAACACUGAUGCUCCAAAUCUUUUUUGUGCGUUGAAAUAGAAGUGUAUUCCUGCCUACUCCUUAGCCAAAAUGAGGGUGUUGCUUCAGUCUCACCAGACUGGAAAUCAUACAGGCAUGUCAUAUGGAAAACAAAUGAUUAUAAAUAUGCAACUCUUCACCAGCAGUUAGUCGUCCUUCCUCCCUGCCUGGGUUUCUGCGCUCUGUAUUUUGCCUUAACUCAAUGGUUUUCCUUGUGUUUUUUUCUUCCAAUGGCAAAUGAUGCUUAAAAUACCACAGUCAGAACUGCUCCUCUGGCAUUGUUAGUGUUUGCUUUGUACUUCAUCUACAAUUUCUGAGGAUGAAAAUGAGUCUUAAACAUCUCGAAUAGCUGACAAGGUAAUAAUAGCAAAUCACGAAUGAGUGAUUGAUUUAUGAAUUUGUGUAAGUAUGGCCACCGGACACCUCCCUGUCUGUGUACGUGUGUGCCCUGCCUUGCCAGGGUACAACCUCACUCAUGGAAUAACAUUUUUUCUAUGCCUGCUGCAAGCGCCACACAGAGGAGCCUCAUUGCUCUGCAGAGACUGUGCCAUGAAAAACAAACACUGACACCCAAACUCUUCCAGCAGAUGAAGGCAGGUGCGCUCAUGAGACCGGCUGGCUUCCGUUUGCACUACCAGCCGCUGCCAUACCGGUGCAGUGGAGCCACGUUGAACUGGUGCUUGGAGCUGUGGCCAGAGCUGCACUGGAAAUUAUUGCAAGACGGAUCAAAGCAUUAGCAAUAGAAAAACAGCAUUGCAAAAGUCCAAAAUUCUUUUUCCAGUUGUUAUUCACUCACUUUCCACUGAAAUUAUAUGGAAAGGGUGCUUGGAUUCCUGCCAGCUCACUGAAGUGAGUAACCAAGGAGUAGCCUGUGGAUAUACCUGCUCAAAAGUAAACUGCACUGAGUAGUAUGAGAUGACCCAGACUGGAAACGGUCCUUGUGCUCCUCCUUUCCCCAGAACUUCUGCUGCUGGCAACAUCUUGCCGUUGCUCUUGGCAAGCAAAUGUCUCUAGCUUCUGCUCAGAGAAUGUUGGGGCUUGCUGCUGCUACACAAACUCCAGUUUUCCUAUGGAAAUGUAUACAUUUUCUGAUUAAUGUUUCCAUCGAGUUUAGGCCUGGGUAAACACGGGGUAAUGUCAGAAUUCAUCAGCAAACUUGCACAAUCCCCUUGAAAAAAUAUUGAAGAAAAAUUGUUCCCAGCCUAGAAUGAACAUUGCAGCCAAAAAAAAGAUCUUCUAUGUAAAAAAUAAUUUCUCUCUCUUUCAGAAAUUAAUGAUCUAUUCACAGACCUACAGUUUACUUUUCAGUGUCUUAUGGCAUGAUUUGUCAAGUGCUGAUUGAAUGAAGCCAGCUGCUGCAGUCUUACCAACUAAAGGAAUCUGCUGCAUGUGAUCAAGGAGUAGCAGCAAAGCGUUGAGUCCAGGAAAUGAUUUCUGGCAAGGAGUAUAAGCUUUCUUUUUGAGAGGGGUGCAAUUAUCACCCUGUUGUUCCCACAGUUCCACCCUAACUUAGCUCUGGCUGCAUCUCCAGAAGGACUGUGCUGCUUGGAAAAUAAAGGCAUUUGAGAGCAUGUGGGAGAGAAAUGU
ensembl:lncRNA